CUACGUGCCAGCAGCCGCGGUAAUACGGAAGGUCCAGGCGUUAUCCGGAUUUAUUGGGUUUAAAGGGUGCGUAGGCCGUUUGAUAAGCGUGCUGUGAAAUAUAGUGGCUCAACCUCUAUCGUGCAGCGCGAACUGUCGAACUUGAGUGCGUAGUAGGUAGGCGGAAUUCGUGGUGUAGCGGUGAAAUGCUUAGAUAUCACGAAGAACUCCGAUUGCGAAGGCAGCUUACCGUAACGUUACUGACGCUUAAGCACGAAGGUGCGGGUAUCGAACAGGAUUAGAUACCCUGGUAGUCCGCACAGUAAACGAUGGAUGCCCGCUGUUGGUACCUGGCAUCAGCGGCUAAGCGAAAGCAUUAAGCAUCCCACCUGGGGAGUACGCCGGCAACGGUGAAACUCAAAGGAAUUGACGGGGGCCCGCACAAGCGGAGGAACAUGUGGUUUAAUUCGAUGAUACGCGAGGAACCUUACCCGGGCUUGAAUUGCAGACACAGGAUACAGAGAUGU
rnacentral:rRNA from 1 species